AUGCACGCUGGCGGCGUGCCUCAUCCCUGCAAGUCGCGCGCACGGACGAGAAGCUUGCUUCUCUGAUGUUAGCGGCGGACGGGUGAGUAACACGUGGAUAACCUACCUAUAAGACUGGGAUAACUUCGGGAAACCGGAGCUAAUACCGGAUAAUAUUUUGAACCGCAUGGUUCAAAAGUGAAAGACGGUCUUGCUGUCACUUAUAGAUGGAUCCGCGCUGCAUUAGCUAGUUGGUAAGGUAACGGCUUACCAAGGCAACGAUGCAUAGCCGACCUGAGAGGGUGAUCGGCCACACUGGAAGUGAGACACGGUCCAGACUCCUACGGGAGGCAGCAGUAGGGAAUCUUCCGCAAUGGGCGAAAGCCUGACGGAGCAACGCCGCGUGAGUGAUGAAGGUCUUCGGAUCGUAAAACUCUGUUAUUAGGGAAGAACAUAUGUGUAAGUAACUGUGCACAUCUUGACGGUACCUAAUCAGAAAGCCACGGCUAACUACGUG
rnacentral:rRNA from 1 species